CCCUUAGAUGUCCGGGGCUGCACGCGCGCUACACUGAAGGAAUCAGCGUGCUAAAACCAUUGUCGAAAGGCAUUGGUAAACCCAUUAAAAUCCUACGUGAUUGGGAUCGGGAAUUGCAAUUAUUCCCCUUGAACGAGGAAUUCCCAGUAAGUGUGGGUCAUAAGCUCGCGUUGAUUACGUCCCUGCCCUUUGUACACACCGCCCGUCGCUGCCCGGGACUGAGCCGUUUCGAGAAAAGCGGGGACUGCUGCUGUCGGGGCUUUCGGGCCUUGGCUUCGGUGGAAACCGCUUUAAUCGCAGUGGCUUGAACCGGGCAAAAGUCGUAACA
rnacentral:rRNA from 1 species